AAGAAACUAACCAGGAUUCCCCUAGUAACGGCGAGUGAAGAGGGAAAAGCCCAGCACCGAAGCCUGUGGCAAUUUUGCUGCUAGGCAAUGUGGUGUUUAGGUCGGCUCGUGGGAUCGCCACUCCACUCGAAGUCCAGCAUUGAGUAUGGUUCCCAGGAAUUGGCCCAUAGAGGGUGAAAGGCCCGUACGAGUGGAUGUGUCAGACAUGUAAGGCGAUUCACCAGGCCGGCCUUAGAGUCGGGUUGUUUGCGAAUGCAGCCCAAAGCGGGUGGUAAACUCCAUCCAAGGCUAAAUACUAGCACGAGUCCGAUAGCGAACAAGUACCGUGAGGGAAAGUUGAAAAGUACUUUGAAAAGAGAGUAAACAGUACGUGAAACCGCAUAGAGGUAAACGGGUGGCGUCAAGCUGCAAGCCCAGAGAAUUCAGUCGGUCAGGGUGUUGUUAUGCGCCCAGCGCAUCUAUCAGUCGGUGUAUAGUUUGGCUAGUCCGCUGGCAAAUGGCGGGCCCAGCUGUCAAAGGCUGGGAUUUGUGUACCGGGAGGUAGCCGGAGCAUGCUAGCCGUCUGUUGGACUGCCUGGCCGAUGCACUUUCUCUGUUGGUGAACACCACGACCGGUGGAACUGCCAGUCUGCUGUAGCCAGCUUCUCCGCGUGCUCUGGUCUCGGCUGGGGCAUGUGGUGAUCACAGACAAUUUCAGUGCACGGUGCUCGUGUGUUUUCCGCAUGCGGGCAUGUUAUCGGGAACUGGUUGUAAACGGGUCUGYCCGUCGACUUGUCUGUAGUCGCGGUUGACGGGUGACCCGGUGGGCUACAGUGGUAUGAAUAACUGUGCAGGGCACCGGAGUUUUCGGUCCGACCGGCAAUGGUCGCUUGCGGCUGUUGCUGCCGGCUGCACGCGCACUACAGUUUAGCGUGUGCUGCUACUGCUGCUUUAGUAGUGUUAGUAGUACGGAUGGCGCUGCUACGGCCUGCCAGUCGUUGGGUCUGAUUGUCGUGUCGCCUGCCAAAAUGGCGGGUCCGGCAGUGGCCUGGCGUUGGAUGGUGCCUGUUGGCGGCGUUGUCAAUGUGCAGCCGGAAUGUGUGCGCGACCUUAUAGUCUGUGGUGUAGUGGUAGACGAGCUACCCGAC
rnacentral:rRNA from 1 species